CAACCGCGAAGACUGAAGAUAUUAAUUCUGUAACGUUAUAUUACUAAAGACUGAAGAUAAUACCACCGCGAUAGAUUCUGUAUGUAAUUGAUUUUAUUCUACGUUGAGGACACUUUAUAAAACCUACAGAGGAUGGGACCCAGCAGCCUUCACUAACAUGACGCAGUAACGGUCACCGUAGUAACCGUAAGGGUCAUCUGACAUUCGGAAGGAUGGGUGCCAAGCCAAAGGCUAUUCCUGUUGGUGUAUUUGCGCAUGAGGUGGUUCAAGAUAUAGUCUGAGGGCAGUUCAUUAAGUCAGUUGCAGUUCCACCCGCCACAACAGACUCUGCUGUAUGGAGGCCUUUAUGUGUGUACUUUUCAUUGUGCAUGCAGAUAUUAUUCAGGUUUUUUCUCCAUUUCUGUCACCUUUGGCUUGCUUAUUUGGGGACACUUCAUUUUUGGGAAUAUUAACGACUUGUUUGCAGAGACACUAUUUGAAGAAAAGUGAACAUAGCUGGAUGAUGACGAC